rnacentral:rRNA from 1 species
AACGAACGCUUUCUUCCUUCCUAACACAUGCAAGUCGAACGAGACCUUCGGGUCUAGUGGCGCACGGGUGCGUAACGCGUGGGAACCUGCCCUUAGGUUCGGAAUAACUCCCCGAAAGGGGUGCUAAUACCGGAUAAUGUCUUCGGACCAAAGAUUUAUCGCCUUUGGAUGGGCCCGCGUUGGAUUAGCUAGUUGGUAGGGUAAAAGCCUACCAAGGCGACGAUCCAUAGCUGGUCUGAGAGGAUGAUCAGCCACACUGGGACUGAGACACGGCCCAGACUCCUACGGGAGGCAGCAGUGGGGAAUAUUGGACAAUGGGCGAAAGCCUGAUCCAGCAAUGCCGCGUGAGUGAUGAAGGCCUUAGGGUUGUAAAGCUCUUUUACCCGGGAUGAUAAUGACAGUACCGGGAGAAUAAGCUCCGGCUAACUCCGUG